UCGGCACAACACCGGAAUUCAGAAGAAGAAGAAGAAGAAGAAGAAAAAGUCUCGUUGUUUGACUGGGAUGUGUGUCUGGCGGCGGGAUAGCUGUGCUGUUUGUUAUUAGUGAGUUUGAAGAAGACAGAGCUCCAGGAGCCCUCAGCAGACGUCAACCUGGCCACCGUAGCAGGAAAGAAGGGCAAGAAGGCCGAGGAGGAGCUGCCUGCAGCAAAAGUAGCAGCGGCAGCAGCAGCCACUGCCACAGCAGUAGCAGUGAAGGAGGAGGAGGAGGAGGAGCAGCCUGCAGCACCUCCUGCAGCAGAAGCAGCAGUGAAGAAGGAAGAGGAGGAGUAUGUGGUGGAGAAGGUUUUGGACCGCAGAGUGGUGAAGGGAAGAGUAGAGUUUCUGCUUAAAUGGAAGGGGUUCUCAGAUGAGGAGAACACAUGGGAGCCGCAAGACAACCUGGACUGCCCCGACCUUAUCGCUGAGUACAUGCAGAAACACAACGAGAAGGAGGAGAAGAAGAAGGAGGGCAAAAGGAAAGUUGUCAGUGAGGCCUCGAGAGACUCAGAGGAGCGAGGGAGCAAGAG